AGGUAAUGGAACACGAAAGCAGCUCUAGAACGUGCGCUUUUUUUUCCGUGAAAUACUCCGAGCAGCCGACUGUGGCUUCUGGCCGAGUCUCGAGGGCCAGAACGAGAGCAACAUCUCGGGGGACAAACACUGAAUAUGAUAUUCGAAUAAAGAAUUCCAAUGGGGAAAGUUCUAUGGCAAAGACUUGUUUUGAAGAGCUGAAAAGUGGCUUGAAGUCUGUUAAUAUGAACCAAGAUCUUCAACUUGAGCAAAUGUUCAAUAGCUGCAAAGCAGCGUGCCGAAGUACCGUAGGCUGUUCUGAUCUCUUGGGAGAGCAGCUGGUGGAAAGCUCUGCAUCUUGAAUAAAAAAGCUCCUCACUUUGUGCCAAUUUUCAUUGUAACUUGCAGAGUGGAAAAAAAGAAAGAAAUCACCAAUAAAUGGAAAUUACCCG